rnacentral:rRNA from 1 species
GAUGAACGCUAGCUACAGGCUUAACACAUGCAAGUCGCGGGGCAGCAUGGGGGUUGCUUGCAAUCCCCGAUGGCGACCGGCGCACGGGUGAGUAACGCGUAUCCAACCUGCCCUUCACCACGGGAUAACCCGGCGAAAGUCGGACUAAUACCGUAUGUUGUCCAUUGACGGCAUCCGAUUUGGACGAAAGGUUUGGCGGUGAAGGAUGGGGAUGCGUCCGAUUAGCUGGACGGCGGGGUGACGGCCCACCGUGGCGACGAUCGGUAGGGGUUCUGAGAGGAAGGUCCCCCACACUGGAACUGAGGCACGGUCCAGACUCCUACGGGAGGCAGCAGUGAGGAAUAUUGGUCAAUGGGCGUAAGCCUGAACCAGCCAAGUAGCGUGCAGGAGGACGGCCCUAUGGGUUGUAAACUGCUUUUAUGCGGGGAUAAAGUGGCCCACGUGUGGGUUUUUGCAGGUACCGCAUGAAUAAGGACCGGCUAAUUCCGUG